GGGAUAUUGCACAAUGGGGGAAACCCUGAUGCAGCGACGCCGCGUGAGUGAAGAAGUCAUUCGUGAUGUAAAGCUCUAUCAGCAGGGAAGAAAAUGACGGUACCUGACUAAGAAGCCCCGGCUAACUACGUGCCAGCAGCCGCGGUAAUACGUAGGGGGCAAGCGUUAUCCGGAUUUACUGGGUGUAAAGGGAGCGUAGACGGCCAGGCAAGUCUGGAGUGAAAGCCCGGGGCUCAACCCCGGGACUGCUUUGGAAACUGUAGGGCUGGAGUGCAGGAGGGGUAAGCGGAAUUCCUAGUGUAGCGGUGAAAUGCGUAGAUAUUAGGAGGAACACCGGUGGCGAAGGCGGCUUACUGGACUGCAACUGACGUUGAGGCUCGAAGGCGUGGGGAGCAAACA
rnacentral:rRNA from 1 species